rnacentral:rRNA from 1 species
AAUUAAGGGCAUAAGGGCACAUGGUGGAUGCCUUGGCACCAACUGGCGAUGAAGGACGUGGUUAACUGCGAAAAACCUCGGCGAGCUGUAAGCGAGCUUAGACCCGGGGGUAUCCGAAUGGGGCAACCCGGCUCCGAUUAUGCGGAGUCAUCCCGUACCUAUUUUAAUUCAUUUGAGAUUAUAGAAGAUAAUCUUUAAUAAGGGAUUAAAAUAGGUGCGGGGGGCAAACCUGCUGAACUGAAACAUCUAAGUAGGCAGAGGAAGAGAAAGUAAAAACGAUUCCCUUAGUAGCGGCGAGCGGACGGGGAAGAGCCUAAACCCCGCACCUAAAUAUAUGUUAAAUAUUUUUAGAUAAACUAUGAAUAUUGAAAGUGUAUUUAGGUGCGGGGGGUAGUGGGACUUGCGAUAUUUGUAAAUUAUUGAUAGACGAACCGAGUUGGAAAGCUCGACCGUAGGGGGUGAAAGUCCCGUAGUUGAAAUCGAUGAUAUAUGAUAGCGAGUAUCCCGAGUAGGCCGGGGCACGAGGAACCCUGGUUGAAUCAGCGAGGACCAUCUCGUAAGGCUAAAUACACUUGGUGACCGAUAGUGAAAUAGUACCGUGAGGGAAAGGUGAAAAGCACCCCGGGAGGGGAGUGAAAUAGAACCUGAAACCGUGUGCUUACAAUCAGUCGGAGUGCCGCACUUACUUUGGAAGAGUAUAUGGAAGUGAGACUUUCAAAGUAAGUGCGGUAUGACGGCGUGCCUUUUGCAUAAUGAGCCGGUGAGUUAAUUUUAUCAGCGGGUUAAGUGGUACAGCCACGCAGCCAUAGCGAAAGCGAGUGUUAAUAGCGCGUUUGUUGAUAGAAUUAGACCCGAAGCCUGGUGAUCUACCCAUGUCCAGGUUGAAGUCACGGUAACACGUGAUGGAGGACCGCACCAACCGAUGUUAAAAAAUCGGUGGAUGAGGUGUGGGUAGGGGUGAAAGGCCAAACAAACCAGGAGAUAUCUGGUUCUCUCCGAAAACUGUUUAGGCAGUGCCUUGCAGUAGAGUUAUGGAGGUAGAGCACUGAAUGGGCUAGGGGGCAUACCAGCUUACUGAACCCAACCAAACUCCGAAUGCCAUAACUUGAUCUGCGGGAGACAGCGUGCGGGGGAUAAGCUUCGUACGCGAGAGGGAAACAACCCAGACCGACGGCUAAGGUCCCAAAAUAUAUGCUUAGUGAGGAAGGAUGUGUUAUUGCCGAGACAGCCAGGAUGUUGGCUUAGAAGCAGCCACCAUUUAAAGAGUGCGUAAUAGCUCACUGGUCGAGUGGUAGUGCACCGAAGAUGAUCGGGACUCAAGCAUAUUACCGAAGCCGCGGUACAGCACCUAUUCUUAAUUUUAAUGGAGCUAUACCGAACAUGAAGAGAUAUACAUUCUUUAUAUUUAAAGGAGACAGCAUGUAUUAUGUUUAUCUUUUACAGGAAGAAGAAAGUAGUGAACACUACAUUGGAUAUACCAAAGAUUUGAAACAACGUAUGGAACAACAUAAGCUGCCUCAUCAAGGUUAUACCGGCAGUGGAAAAUGGAAGUUGGUUUACUAUGAAGCAUAUUUAUCCAAAGAGGAUGCGCAGGAACGUGAGCGCAAGUUAAAGCAAGACGGACGUUCAAGGCGAUACAUUAUGAAGCGGACAGAGCGUUCCCAAAAAAUAUGUGAAGAGAAGCAAAAAUAGUUUAGUUGAAAUUAAGAAUAGGUGCUGUAGGUAGGAGAGCAUUCCAUUCAGCGUAGAAGGUGUACUGUAAGGUAUUCUGGAGCGGAUGGAAGAGACCAUGCCGGCAUGAGUAGCGAUAAUGCAGGUGAGAAACCUGCACACCGUAAGCCUAAGGUUUCCUGAGUAAAGAUAAUCUUCUCAGGGUUAGUCUGCCCCUAAGGCGAGUCAAGCGAGCUUGAGUAGCUGA